AUUGCCUACAUGAACCUAGGCGGAAGAUAUUGGUCUAUCUUUAUUGUAUCUUCAGGUUGACUGUGAAAGGGGGUCCAGAAACAAGACACUUUUCUUCUCAGCUUCUAAGACUGAACUGAAGCUCCCCUUUCUCUGAUGGCUUCUCCACCUGUGAUGUGUGACCCUAUAGGGUUUUACCAUGUCUAGUUUUUUGGCUGGGAGGCAUAUGGAAUCUUAGCUCCCUGACCAGGGAUCAAACCCGCACCCCCUGCAUUGGAAGGCAAAGUCUUAACUGCUGGACCAUCAGGGAAGUCCCCUAGUCCCAGUCUUUAUGUGAGGAAUGCUGGCGAGCCGUAUGCCUGCUGUGCAUCUGCACUUGCCCUCUGUCCUCUGCGAUGAUGUUCCAGCUCCCUCCCCACUGCAGAAAAGCCACUUGACUCAUUCAGAUAGGUUAUAGCACUCCUAACUGAUACCUCAUCUCUGAUUCCCUGACUCUUUGCUGUUAUCUGUUGGCACAGAUAUGUGUGCCAUGUGCCAGGCUUAGGUAAGAGGGAUGGGGGAGGUAGGUGGGAGAUGGAGGGUGUGUGUAAGUUGACAAACAUGGAGAUGUCUGUUACACCUAGUCUCUGUUUUCACAGAGCUCAUGACACCAAUUGUAAGU